AGCAGCCGCGGUAAUUCCAGCUCCAAUAGCGUAUAUUAAAGUUGUUGCAGUUAAAAAGCUCGUAGUUGAAUUUCGGGAUCAAUAUAUUGGUCAUGCUUAGGUAUGUACUGGUAUUAUUGAUUUCUCCCUUCUGAAGAACCAUAAUGUCAUUAAUUUGAUGUCAUGGGGAAUCAGGACUGUUACUUUGAAAAAAUUAGAGUGUUUAAAGCAGGCUUUCGCUUGAAUACAUUAGCAUGGAAUAAUGAAAUAGGACGUUUGAUUCUAUUUUGUUGGUUUCUAGGAUCGACGUAAUGAUUAAUAGGGAUAGUUGGGGGCAUUAGUAUUCAAUUGUCAGAGGUGAAAUUCUUGGAUUUAUUGAAGACUAACUACUGCGAAAGCAUUUGCCAAGGAUGUUUUCAUUAAUCAAGAACGAAAGUUAGGGGAUCGAAGACGAUCAGAUACCGUCGUAGUCUUAACCAUAAACUAUGCCGACUACGGGAUCGGAUGAUGUUAAUUUUUAAUGA
rnacentral:rRNA from 1 species